AAGCCAGCUCAGCCGGGGGGAGCAGGACUGCUUAAAAAGUGAGAUUCAAGGAAUGGAAAACUGACUUUGGGGAUGGAAAGUGCUCUGUUCAUCUGAAGUUACAGGCACAGGUGACAAAAAGUUGUAUUCCCCAAGUGGUAUCAGGGAAAUACCGAGUGGUGAUGCCUCCCAUUCAAAAAUCCCUGCAGAAACAGGAACCCCGAACCCAUCUCGGGGCCCUGCAGACAGUGGCAAAGCUGUGCAGGAGGGGACAGAUGGAAGACGUGCUGUUCAGUGGAAGGGCCUGUUUAUGAAAACACGGGCCCUGGUUACUUUGAGGGUGGGGUGGGUGGAGAGCAUCCCUCCAAAGAGCCUGGACCUGCUGGUGGAGGUGCUCAAAAGAACACAUGCACUCAGUUCUCUCAGGUUUGUCCCUGGGAGUGGAAUUACCAGGCCCUCAGGUCGUUUUCAAAUCUCGGAUCCCACAAGAAAUUUUGAAAACUUCAACCUCGAGAAAGGACUCACCAUUCCAUUCAAGCAGGAGUCAUCCCAAAGCAGCACAACAUCUAAAUCCCUUUUUCAAAGUGGCUGAGAAAUCACCCAGCAGGCGACAUCACCUAAGGUAAUGAGAAACGCGCUGUGCAAACACGUGGGGAGUACCAUCUCCAGAAGCGGUGUUGGGGGCCAAGAGGGAGAGCUGGGUGCCAGAAGAGAAGCAGGUGGUGUUGCUUCAAAAGGUGUUCUGAGAGACAAUGGCAGCGAGCAAAUCAUAGCUCUUAGAGAACCUUGCUUCUUCCCCUUCUACAGCCAAGGCAACGGAGGCCCUGAAAUUAAGGGGCUUGGUUUAAGUGCGAAUGGAAGUGUAGGCCUUGAUCUUGGGCUCUGCCUCCUACUGUGGUGCUGCUGCUCUCUGGAGAACGUAGGUCUAAGUCUGCUGACUUGUAAAAUGGGUGGAAUCUAGGUAGCUUUAGACACAUUGCCCCUACACCAAGCUGCUCCCCAAGGGAGCAGUUACCAGUGGUUGGGGGCAGACCCACUGGGUGCUCCCAAGCAGUCCUGAGCCUGUCUGGUCUCUGUGGCAGGGUGACCCAACGCAGGCCAGCAGAGCCCUUUGCUGCCUCCCACUUGGCUGCCUGUGACAGGGCCAGCUCAGCUCCUCUCUCCUCUCUGGGGACCUGAGGUUCUGAGGUUCUGCCAGCUGUCUGCCCUGGGAAGGAUGGGAAGGCCAGCACUUGUGGGAAAAGUCAUUCAUAGGCCACAUGUUGUUGGGUGGCAGGGUCAGGGUCUGGGGGAGGCCUGCCAGCUGGCCUAGCAGCUGCCCAGAAGGGAGCUGGUGGCUCAGGUCCUCCUUCUCCUGCACCCUGAAGCCCACUGAGACAUGUUUGCUCCUCGCUUUCAUCACCUCUUUAUCUGUCCCCCCGUCCACUCCCUCUGCCCUUGCCCUCGAGGGUGGGUAGCACCUCUCUCCAGGCCACCGCAUCCGGCUCCCCCCCAGCUCCCUCCCAGCUUGAAUCCUGUGCGUGGCUCCUGAAUGCCCUCAGAUGCGUGUCUCACGUGUUUGUUCACUUAUUCGUGCUCAUUUUUAUGUGACCACAAUGUGCUGGAUGCUCUUCCAGCCUUGAGGGUACAGCAGUGAACAGAACAGCCUCCUUCCCGCCCUCAUGGAACUGAUGGUCCCUUAGGGCACAGGCACUAAUGGCUUAAAAUAUAUACACAAUUACAAGUGACUGAGUGGGCCAAGAAAAAAAGCACGUUGAUGGCAGCUUGUGCCAGGGCUACGGAGUUUAGGCUUUAUCUAAAGAGAAGAAUUUGGGGGUAUCAGAUGGAGAGCGAUUCAAUUUAGGUGAAAUCCAAGCUCCUAAGUGGGGCCUGCAAGGUUGGCCACUAUUAUGGGUUGGGUUGUGUUCCCCACAAAAAGACAUGUUAGAGUCUUGGCCCCAAGGACCUCAGAAUACGGCCUUAUUCACAGAGGUGAAAUGAGGUCAUUAGGGUGGGUCCUAAUCCGGUAUGACUGGUGUCCUGAUAAAAAGGGGGACUUUGGACACAGAGACUUGCACACAGGGAGAAGGCCAUGUGAGCACGAGGGAAGAGACCUGGGGGAUGCUUGUAUAAGCCAAGAAAUGGGAAAGGUUGCCAGCAACCACCAUCAGGAGAGAGGUGAGGACAGGGUCUCCCUCAUAGCCCUGGGAAGGAGCCAACCCUGUGACAUCUUGGUCUUGGACUUUUCCGCCUCCAGAGCUGUGAGACAAUAAGUUUCUACUGUUUAAGCCACCUCGGUUGUGGUACUUUGUUAUGGCAGCCCCAGCAAACCAAUAUGGCCACCACGUGGCCUCUGCCCAGCUUCAUUUCUGCCGUUCCCCUGAUGCCAUCUAAUUCCAAAAUUGCUUUGGUUGAAGGACACAUAGUUCUGGAAUGAACUGGCUCUUUUCUCUCUUCUGAGCUCUUGCACCUGUGGUUGCCCCUGCCAGGGAUGUCAGCUGCAUCUCUCUCCGGCUGAGGAACCCACUGAGGUCCCUGCCUCGCGCUCUGAGACUCGUUUUCCCCCAUCCCUCCCUGCUCCUCCAGCCACAUUUGCUCCUCCAUUCCAGAUCCCACAGCAAACUCUGCACUCAAAGCCUGUGACCCUGGUCGUGUCUUCCACACUUUCAGCCCCAGAUCCUACUCUCCAAAGUUUCUCAGACCUGAAUAAAUAAAUGCAGGGACACCAUCCUUGUUAAAAAUUCUCACACCCUUGGGGACACUCCCAUUAACCUCAAUUUAUUGCACAUCAACUCAGGAAACAAAACUCUUGCUGCGAAUUACCGCCACAAAGAGAACAUUUUGCCCUUAUAACUGGCUGGAAAAAAAGAUUAUCGUCAAAAUGAAAACACAAAAUUAAUAAAUUCCCAGGCAAGAGUACGCCAGGAGCCCUAGGAUGAGAAAGCUCCACUUUGAGCAUCACGGAAAUCCUGUGUCCUGGCAGAGUUUUACCGAGGUGCAUGGGAGGACCACCUGGGGGCUUUUCAAAAAGACCCAUACCUGGGAUUGUUCUUGAAUUGGUUAGAGUGGGGCCUGAGGUCCACUCUCCCUCUUUUUCAAACUGGCAGGUGGUUCUGGUUUGCCAGCUCAUGGCACGCGCCUGGUACUCCCAGAGCUGCCUCAGCUAGUCCCGUGAGCCCUCGGAUGCCCCUGGAGGCAGGGCUAGCCUCGAGCACCGUGGAGUGAGCAUGCAGGGCCUGAAUCGAUGGGCACAAAGCCCACCCUCACAAGCACUGCUCUGCACCCUCCCGUCUUCCGAUAGCUUUGGGUCUGGGGUCAGACUGCGGCCACCACUCCUUAGGGUGCCUCCCUCAUCUUACAGCAUCUUACAGUUAACUUAAGGACUGAGCCUUCUGUUCUGGUGGCGCUGUUAAUUGUCCUGUUAGAGCCUUAAGACAACAAUACCAGGAAGGAAGGGCUGGGCUGUGGCUUCCAUUUUACAGAUGAGAAAGCCAAGGUCCAGGGAAGUGGAAAGUCCCUGCCCAAGGUCACCAGGUUUGACUAGAACGCUGACUGCUGGCUCAGUGCCUUAUCCUGUUGCUUCCAACCAGACUGAAUGUCCCUCUGAGUGUUAUGUUAAACUGAGUAUGAAUGGGGCAUGUUUUCAUUGCUCCAAAGACCUUAUCCAUGUGCAUUCUGAACAAUGCACCACCUCUGUUUAUAUCAAAGAUGGCUUUUUGUUGUUGGUUUGUUCAGUUCAUCAUCCAAACAAGUCCAAAGAUCACAUGUAAUUGUUUUGCCCCUUAAAUCCACUCCCUCUCUUUUAGAGAAAGAAGACAAAUUUUUGUCGUCACAAAUGAAAUGUUGGGCAAUGGAAUAAACUCUUGCAUCAAGCUAAUUUUGGUGUUGGCCGCAAGUACAAACAGCAAAAGAUCUUUUCAGAGAGCUCAAGAGAGAGUAGAUAUUAAUGAAAAUGAAAUUGUAGCAAAACGAGCAGUUUUAUUUUGUUUCACCUCUAUUGUUUAAGAAACAAAACAGAACAAAGUCUAAUCAAGCUGGCCACAUGCAGCCCCUGAAAUCUGGAUGCGUGGGGCUGACAUGGACUCCCCAGCGGUGCUGGGAAGUGAAGGUUCCGGAGCAAGGUAUCACAAUUAUAACUUCUUUUGUGUUGUGAUUCCUAUUCACUUUGUGUGAAACUCAAGAUUUAAGCUACUUUAAGUAGUUCAAAAUGGAGUCACAGUGGCCAGUGUGAACUUCCACAUUAGUUGUUUUGAAAUGUCUGCAGUAGGACUGUGAGCGUCUUAGAGCAAUAAACUAAGAGUGGUAUUUUAGAUAUGAAAUUUGAUGGGCAACAUACGUCACUGGAACUGAAGGAGCAACUGACAGAGAUAAGACACCCUGGGAGUAACUGUUACACCUACUGACACAGCCUUAAAAGGAGACCCCUGAGCCCAGCUCUUCACUGGAGGACCCAACCCCUCGGUGCUGAGCUGCUGCAGGUGGAAGCUGCCGGAGCCUCUGUCAGGGCAGAGGGCAACUUUUCGUUUAUGCUUGUCUCGGGACCCAUGGCUGGAUGGGGACCACCAUUCGUGCUGAUGCCUGCUUCCCAGACUUCCUCUUGGAGGGGUUUGUUACCCACUUUCCUGUUUCCCCUACUCUGACUAAGCUGUGUGGUGUGCUGUGUGUGUGCAAUUAACCAAGUGAUUUGUUAACUGAAUACUGACUACGUUUCCAACAUCUCCAGUCCCGGGAUUCUUACCUGUCCCUACUGCUGGGCCCUGUGACACACACAAGGUCCAUGGCUGGGAUCUUGGAGCCUGCUGUUCUCUGCCUUCCUGGGAUUUUUCUCCAGCUGUUUAUCUGAUAAAAGGACCUGUGCUCAUUGGAGGAAAGGGACCUGGGAGGAGAGAGCAGGAGGCUGGCCCUGCUCCAGCUCGUCUCCAUCAGCGGCCUUCCCUGUCCCCAGAGCAUACGGUCACCACUGCACCUGCGGUCAAGACCAAGGUCACUCAAGGCUCAAGACAGGGCCUCAGCUGAGAGCAUAUGGUGUGGCCAACAGCCUAGGGGAGCCUCCCCCACUGCACUGCGUGCUCUUCUCAGCUUCCUCCCCAUUUUAAAAUUUUCCCCCAAAGUCAUCGGCCACAUCUGUUAGUCUGGGGAGCAGGUGAGACAGGCUAUCCUUGACCAGGGAAGAGGCCUCCCAUGGGGCCAACCAGUCCCGCCCCCUGCAUUAUACUUGCUUCUACCCCGCCCUCAGAUGGUCUCAUCACCUCUCACCUGUGUAGAUGCGGGGGCCUCCUCCUCCUCGCUGGCCUCCCAGCCUGCCGUCUCAGUCAGUCAUUCUCCUGCAAGCCUGGGCCUAGAACCAGCGGCUCUGUGGAGCCUUCCCCAUCUUGCUCCUCCCCUCCUGGGCCCCCCAUUCCUGGGGUAUACCUUGCUUUUUGCACCAUGGGGCAGCACGGCAGUGUUUAUCUGGGUGCGGGGCUCCCUACUACCGUGCACGCCUCGAACACUGAAUCCAAGGCGGCGAAGUCGGCUUCCCUCUCCCUCCAGUGCCCGACCCAGAGCUGGUGUUUGUGUUUGCAGGACCUGCAUCCCACUGAUUGAGCCCUUUUGCCCACAGUGUGCUACCUCACCCGGGGUGUGAGGCCAUGGCCAGCGCUGAGCAAACUGUGACAAAGGGGCCCCAGCCCUGGGCACCGUCCUCUUCUGCUCGGUGCCUCCACCCUCCCCACCCCAAUCACCACCGUUUCCUGAGCAUCCACCUUGUGCCCUUUACUGUGAGGCCUUUGCUACAGUCGCUCCUUGAGUCUUCACCACACCAUCUACUUUCAAGGCAUAGCCUGGAGUUCACUCACACUCAGGUUUGAGGCUCGAUAACAGCUUGACGUGCUGGGAGCUAGGAACAGAAGCCGGGCACUGACACUGCUGCGGUGGGGGGUGGCCAAGACGGGGGACACUCAGGGCAGUGGCCUUCCUGGUCCUGUACAGUCCCUGGGGAUGAUCGUGGGAUAGGCUGAGCCACCUUGAAGAACACCCCCACCCCUGGGUGCAGAACAUCUGUGUCGGCAGGGCCCAUGGUGAGGUCUGAUUGGCUGAGUGCUCCUGGGAUGGCAGAACAGUCCUCCUCCAGCAGGGCCUGUACUGGGCGCUCCUCUCUGAAGCCACCCCCUGGAGCCCAACUCAACGCCCGGUCCUGCCCUGGGAGGGCGCCUGCCCAGCAGGCAGAGAGAAGGCUCUGAGGCAGCCCCAACCCAGGGCCAGCAGGGGCUGGAAGUCUGUCUGUGCUCUGCAAGUGUGCCCACCACAGUCUCUGGGUGCUGGAGCCCCUUAACCUCACCGAGAGCCAGAGCCACCAAGUGGUGCCAUCACCACCAAAUCACUACCACAGAGAGGCCAUGUCAUAGCAUGGCUUUUCUGUGAUUUCUCAAGGUGAUGGCAGAGUCAGGGAGGGGCCCUGGGACUGGAGUGAGUCCUGCCAGGACACUGAUCCACCUUGUGUGCUUGGACAGUGACCUCUCCUUUCUGGGCCUUUGUUUCCUCACCUGGAAGAUGAGGGGCGGGCUAAAGGCUCUGCUGAGGCCCCACCCCCCAGGCUCUAGUUCUGCUGUUUGUUCGUCGCCAGCCCCUCCGGUGAGAAGACAGUGGGCACGAGGACCAAGGAAACUGGGAAGAAAAGGGGUGGUCACUGGAGGUCAAGGGCAGGAAACACAAAUAGAUGGAAAUGUGCAGGACAUUUAAAAAUACUCACUUCUCAAAUGUCCCACGGGGCAGCUGACAUCAGCGACAGAUGCUGUGAACGGAUCCAUGCAGGAACAUAUUUUAUUGGUGUUAACAUGGUACCUGUGUCGUGCCUGGAGUUUCACAGGGCGUGAGAGUGAGCAGGACAUCUUCUCUCAUGGUGUCUUCACUUCAGAAACUGCACCUGUGGAGAAAAAUGAACGCUUUUGCAGUGCUGGGCAUCCUUACACAGCAAUUUGAGUUGUAAAGCAAAAAUAAUUGCUGAUUUUACAAUUCAGAAGGAUGAGGGCAGCACGAGGGUGGAAGCUUCACACAGUUCCAGGAGAGCUGAUUGCCUGGGGCUCCCAGAGGGAGGGGCUGGCGCGGUCCCAGGACUAGGUCAGCUGUAUCUUAGAAGUGGCCCCUGGCCUCUGGGUCCUCGGGUGGCCAGGACUGUGGGCUCCUUGAGGCAGAGACUGACCUCUCCCAGCUCUCCUUCUCCACAGUACAUUCGCCCAGCCCCAUAAACCCAGUGGAUUGGUUUAUAGAUGGACUCACUCUUGGCCCAGCUACUCUGGGGAGCCCACUCAACCUUAUAGCAGCUUGAGAAAAUACAGUAGGCACAGUAUGUUGAGCUCUUACGAGCUGUGGGCAAGGACCCAAACUGGUUCACUCGUGUGAGCUUCACCGGCACCACACAACAUGUGAGGUGUUGUUAUGAGUCCUCCAUCGCAGAAAAGGAAACUGAGGCAGGGGGGCUCUCAGUUACUACGUGGAAGAACCAAGAUGCCAAUACAGGUCCAUCUGAUGUUCCACAUUUCCUACGGUGGGGUCACCUUCAAACCUUCCUUGAGCUUGCCUUCCAAACCUGGAGUUGGGGGCCUGGCUCUCCCCCUGGUUUCCCCGCUCCCAGCCUUCCAGCAGUGACACUGGGCUGGUUACUUGAGUUUCAGCAUGGGUGUCUUUGUAGAAGAGGGCGUAGCUACCUCCCAUGACUGGUGAGAAUCCCAUGUCAAUAGCGCAGCAUCUCAUGACAAUAAACGUAAAAAAGCUUUAUAAUUAAUUUAAAAACAACGCAGGUGGGGAGGGUAUAGCUCAGUGGUAGAGUGCAUGCCUAGCAUGCAGGAGGCCCUGGGUUCAGUCCUCAU